rnacentral:rRNA from 1 species
CAGUAGCGUCUAUUAAAGUUGUUGCAGUUAAAAAGCUCGUAGUUGGAUUUGUGAUGUUUUUUGAAUUUUGAUUUUUGUUUUCUUUGGGUGGUUGUUCUCUAAUUGGGGAAUGAUUUUACUCGAGGGGAAUGAAAGAACAUCAUCCUUGAUAAAGAAGAAAAAGAAAAUGAAUGUUUGAUUUUUGUUUUUUUAUCAUCCUUUACUUUGAAAAAAUUGGAGUGAUUCAAGCAGGCAAAAAACAUGACUCAAUGUUUGCACAUUGAAAAAUGAAAGAUUUUGCUUCUGCACAGGUUAGCAUGGAAUAAUGCAAGAGGACUUGGGUUUUCUCUUUCAUUGGUUUCAGGAAUCCGAGUAAUGAUUGAUAGGGACAGUUGGGGGUGCUCGUACUCGGCGGCCAGAGGUGAAAUUCUUGGAUUCGCUGAAGACGAACAAAUGCGAAAGCAUUCACCAAGGAUGUCUUCUUUA